UCCCUGGUGGCUCAGACGGUAAAGCGACUGCCUGCAAUGCAGGAGACCCAGGUUCCAUCCCUGGGUUGGGAA
rfam:TPA: Bos taurus chromosome 11, whole genome shotgun sequence.